UGGCAGCACAUAUACUAAUAUACUAAAAUCGGAAUGAUACAGAGAAAUCAGAAUGGCCCCUGUGCAAGGAUGACACGCAACUUCUUGAAGUGUUCCAUAUUUUC